UACGUAGGCAGCAAGCGUUGUUCGGAAUUCCUGGGCGUAAAGAGUGUGUAGGCGGUGCUCUAAGUUCGGUGUGAAAUCUCCCGGCUUAACUGGGAGGGUGCGCCGGAAACUGGAGUGCUCGAGCGUGGGAGAGGAAAGCGGAAUUCCUGGUGUAGCGGUGAAAUUCGUAGAGAUCAGGAAGAACACCGGUGGCGAAAGCGUUCUGCUAGACCUGUACUGACACUGAGGGACGAAAGCUAGGGGAGCGAAUGGG
rnacentral:rRNA from 1 species